rnacentral:rRNA from 1 species
UACGUAGGGUGCAAGCGUUAAUCGGAAUUACUGGGCGUAAAGCGCGCGCAGGCGGCUUUGUAAGUCUGACGUGAAAUCCCCGGGCUCAACCUGGGAAUUGCGUUGGAGACUGCAAGGCUGGAGUCUGGCAGAGGGGGGUAGAAUUCCACGUGUAGCAGUGAAAUGCGUAGAGAUGUGGAGGAACACCGAUGGCGAAGGCAGCCCCCUGGGUCAAGACUGACGCUCAUGCACGAAAGCGUGGGGAGCAAACAGG